CCUACGGGAGGCAGCAGUGGGGAAUAUUGCACAAUGGGGGAAACCCUGAUGCAGCAACGCCGCGUGAAGGAAGACGGUUUUCGGAUUGUAACUUCUAUCAAUAGGGAAGAAAGAAAUGACGGUACCCAAAAAAGAAGCCCCGGCUAACUACGUGCCAGCAGCCGCGGUAAUACGUAGGGGGCAAGCGUUAUCCGGAAUUACUGGGGGUAAAGGGAGAGUAGGCGGCAAGGUAAGCGAUAGGUGAAAGCCUUAAGCUUAACUAAAGGAUUGCAUAACGAACUAUCUAGCUAGAGUACAGGAGAGGAAAGCGGAAUUCCUAGUGUAGCGGUGAAAUGCGUAGAUAUUAGGAAGAACACCAGUGGCGAAGGCGGCUUUCUGGACUGAAACUGACGCUGAGGCUCGAAAGCGUGGGGAGCGAACAGGAUUAGAUACCCGAGUAGUC
rnacentral:rRNA from 1 species